GGCGGACGGGUGUGUAAUACUUAGGAAUCUGCCCAUUAGUGGGGGACAACAUUCGGAAACGGAUGCUAAUACCGCAUACGCCCUACGGGGGAAAGCGGGGGAUCUUCGGACCUCGCGCUAAUGGAUGAGCCUAAGUCGGAUUAGCUUGUUGGUGAGGUAAUGGCUCACCAAGGCGACGAUCCGUAGCUGGUCUGAGAGGACGAUCAGCCACACUGGGACUGAGACACGGCCCAG
rnacentral:rRNA from 1 species